rnacentral:rRNA from 1 species
AGUGGCGCACGGGUGCGUAACGCGUAUGCAACCUACCUUAUUCAGGGGGAUAGCCCGAAGAAAUUCGGAUUAACACCGCAUAAAAUCACAGCUCAGCAUUGAGUAAUGAUCAAAUAUUUAUAGGAAUAAGAUGGGCAUGCGUGUCAUUAGCUAGUUGGCGGGGUAACGGCCCACCAAGGCGACGAUGACUAGGGGAUCUGAGAGGAUGACCCCCCACACUGGUACUGAGACACGGACCAGACUCCUACGGGAGGCAGCAGUAAGGAAUAUUGGUCAAUGGAGGCAACUCUGAACCAGCCAUGCCGCGUGCAGGAAGACAGCCCUCUGGGUCGUAAACUGCUUUUAUUCGGGAAUAAACCUUUCUACGUGUAGAGAGCUGAAUGUACCGAAGGAAUAAGGAUCGGCUAACUCCGUGCCAGCAGCCGCGGUAAUACGGAGGAUCCAAGCGUUAUCCGGAUUUAUUGGGUUUAAAGGGUGCGUAGGCGGCUUAUUAAGUCAGGGGUGAAAGACGGUGGCUCAACCAUCGCAGUGCCUUUGAUACUGAUGAGCUUGAAUGAACUAGAGGUAGGCGGAAUGUGACAAGUAGCGGUGAAAUGCAUAGAUAUGUCACAGAACACCGAUUGCGAAGGCAGCUUACUAUGGUUUUAUUGACGCUGAGGCACGAAAGCGUGGGGAUCAAACAGGAUUAGAUACCCUGGUAGUCCACGCCCUAAACGAUGAAUACUCGCUGUUAGCGAUACACAGUUAGCGGCUAAGCGAAAGCGUUAAGUAUUCCACCUGGGGAGUACGCCCGCAAGGGUGAAACUCAAAGGAAUUGACGGGGGCCCGCACAAGCGGAGGAGCAUGUGGUUUAAUUCGAUGAUACGCGAGGAACCUUACCCGGGCUUGAAAGUUAGUGAAUGGUUUAGAGAUAGACCAGUCCGCAAGGACACGAAACUAGGUGCUGCAUGGCUGUCGUCAGCUCGUGCCGUGAGGUGUUGGGUUAAGUCCCGCAACGAGCGCAACCCCUAUGUUUAGUUGCCAGCACGUUAAGGUGGGGACUCUAAACAGACUGCCUGUGCAAACAGAGAGGAAGGAGGGGACGACGUCAAGUCAUCAUGGCCCUUACGUCCGGGGCUACACACGUGCUACAAUGGAUGGUACAGAGGGCAGCAAGCUGGCAACAGCAAGCAAAUCUCAAAAAGCCAUUCACAGUUCGGAUAGAGGUCUGCAACUCGACCUCUUGAAGUUGGAUUCGCUAGUAAUCGCGCAUCAGCAAUGACGCGGUGAAUACGUUCCCGGGCCUUGUACACACCGCCCGUCAAGCCAUGGAAGUUGGGGGUACCUAAAGUAUGUAACCGCAAGGAGCGUCCUAGG